GAUGAACGCUGGCGGCGUGCCUAAUACAUGCAAGUCGAGCGAACAGACGAUGAGCUUGCUCCUCUGACGUUAGCGGCGGACGGGUGAGUAACACGUGGAUCACCUAUCUAUAAGACUGUGAUAACUUCGGGAAACCGGAGCUAAUACCGGAUACUAUAUUGAAACGCAUGGUUCAAUAGUGAAAGACGGUUUUGCUGUCACUUAUAGAUGGAUCCGCGCCGCAUUAGCUAGUUGGUAAGGUAACGGCGUAACAAGGCGACGAUGGGUAGCCGAACUGAGCGGGCUGACAGGCAGACUGGAACUGAGAGAAGGGCCAGACUCCCACGGGAGGCAGCAGUAGCAGAUCUUCCGCAUAGGGCGAAAGGUGGACAGAGCAACGCCGCGUGAGUGAUGAAGGUCUUCGGAUCGUAAAACUCUGAUACUAGGGAAGAAAAAGUAUGUAAGUAACUAUGCACGGCUAGACGGUACCUUAACAGAAAGCCACGGCUAAAUACGGU
rnacentral:rRNA from 1 species